GAGCACGUAGGUGGGUUUGUAAGUCAGAGGUGAAAGCCAGCGGCUCAACCGUUGAACUGCCUCUGAUACUGCAAGUCUUGAGUCCGUUAGGGGAUGGUGGAAUUCCUGGUGUAGCGGUGAAAUGCGUAAAUAUCAGGAGGAACACCGGUGGCGAAGGCGGCCAUCUGGGACGGUACUGACGCUGAGGAACGAAAGCAUGGGUAUCAAACGGGAUUAGAUACCCCGGUAGUCCAUGCCGUAAACGAUGGGCACUAGGUGUUGGAGGACUCUACCCCUUCAGUGCCGCAGCUAACGCAUUAAGUGCCCCACCUGGGGAGUACGAUCGCAAGGUUGAAACUCAAAGGAAUUGACGGGGGCCCGCACAAGCGGUGGAGCAUGUGGUUUAAUUCGAUGCAACGCGAAGAACCUUACCUGGACUUGACAUGCAGGUGUCAGCCGUGGAAACACGGUCUCUCUUCGGAGCACCUGUGCAGGUGCUGCAUGGCUGUCGUCAGCUCGUGUCGUGAAAUGUUGGGUUAAGUCCCGCAACGAGCGCAACCCUUGUCCUUAGUUGCCAUCAGGUCAUGCUGGGAACUCUAAGGAGACUGCCGGUGACAAACCGGAGGAAGGUGGGGACUACGUCAAGUCAUCAUGGCCCUUACGUCCAGGGCUACACACGUGCUACAAUGGCCGGUACAAUGGGCUGCGAUACCGAGAGGUGAAGCGAAUCC
rnacentral:rRNA from 1 species